rnacentral:rRNA from 1 species
UACGUAGGGUGCAAGCGUUGUCCGGAAUUAUUGGGCGUAAAGAGCUCGUAGGCGGUCUGUCGCGUCGGCUGUGAAAUCCCGAGGCUCAACCUCGGGUCUGCAGUCGAUACGGGCAAACUUGAGUGUUGCAGGGGAGACUGGAAUUCCUGGUGUAGCGGUGAAAUGCGCAGAUAUCAGGAGGAACACCGGUGGCGAAGGCGGGUCUCUGGGCAACAACUGACGCUGAGGAGCGAAAGCGUGGGGAGCGAACCGG